rnacentral:rRNA from 1 species
UAGGGAAUCUUCCGCAAUGGACGCAAGUCUGACGGAGCAACGCCGCGUGAGUGAAGAAGGAUUUCGGUUCGUAAAACUCUGUUGUUAGAGAAGAACAGCGCAUAGAGUAACUGUUAUGCGUGUGGCGGUAUCUAACCAGAAAGCCACGGCUAACUACGUGCCAGCAGCCGCGGUAAUACGUAGGUGGCAAGCGUUGUCCGGAUUUAUUGGGCGUAAAGCGAGCGCAGGCGGUCAAUUAAGUCUGAUGUGAAAGCCCCCGGCUCAACCGGGGAGGGUCAUUGGAAACUGGUUGACUUGAGUGCAGAAGAGGAGAGUGGAAUUCCAUGUGUAGCGGUGAAAUGCGUAGAUAUAUGGAGGAACACCAGUGGCGAAGGCGACUCUCUGGUCUGUAACUGACGCUGAGGCUCGAAAGCGUGGGUAGCAAACAGG